AGAAUCAACGCUGGCGGCGUGCCUAACACAUGCAAGUCGAACGCGAAAGGGGAGCAAUCCCUGAGUAGAGUGGCAAACGGGUGAGUAAUACGUGGGUGACCUGCCUCAGAGUGGGGGAUAACGUCCCGAAAGGGACGCUAAUACCGCAUAACAUCCUGCCCCUAGAAGGGUGGAGAUCAAAGCCGGGGAUCGCAAGACCUGGCGCUUGGAGAGGGGCCCGCGUCUGAUUAGCUAGUUGGUAGGUAAUGGCCUACCAAGGCUACGAUCAGUAUCCGGCUGAGAGGGCGGACGG
rnacentral:rRNA from 1 species